CGGUAAGGGUGGUGGUGCUGGCGGUGGCUAUACUAACCCACACACACACACCCACAUACCCACCCACACACACACAGCCAUAAAUAUUCAAAGACACUCCUAUAUAGAGAAAAAAAACUCGUAAACACACUCAAAACAUCCCCACACAUAACCAGAACAUGUCUAUAUACACCCAAAGAUCGGUGUAUGAGCUCUGAGCUCGCUCCGUAAUGAGGAAGACUGGCUGGAUGACCAGCAGACGAUCGAGGUGAGGUGAAUUACACACACACACACAACAACAACAACAAGAAGUGAAGUGUUGCUAUACUACCGGACAGUCUUCCAAGCACCAAACACUAAAUGACCAGACAAGCACUGCAAGCCUUCACCACAACCUUCCACACUGCCUAUCUUCGUCUAUUAAAGGCUCAGGCAUGUAUAUGGAAGCAAUAAGAGGAAGAAGGACGAGAAGCAGAGGAAGAAGGACGAGAAGCAAAGGAAGAGGACGAAGAGGAAAGGAGAAAUAGAGGCGAAAUAGGAGAGGGAGCCAAGCUGUAAUAUUUAGGUGACCGCUGACUUGUGGCUGAGACGGGCGUGUUGCGAGACCUGGAUGUGGCUUGACCAAGGAAUAUACAAGGCGCUGGACCGAUUUCAAAGCGACAUAGGGCCGGAGAAGAGGAAGAAGUGAUAGAGAGUAGAUAGACGUGAUAACUUACAAGAAAUAUAAAGCGGAACUGUUAAAAGAAGAAAAAGAAGAGGAUGAAGACGAAGAAGAAUUUAAAAAGAAGAAAAAGAGGAAUUCAAUAGGAGAAGAGGAAUUUAAAGAAGAAGAAGAAGAAGAAGAAGAAGAAGAAGAAGAAGAUGAUGAUGAUGAUGAUCCGAUCCUGCAAAACGUAAACAAAACAAGCGGCGAGAGGAGUGAGGAGAGGAGGCGAAAUAGUGAAUACCACGGCCCUAACAUCAACAACAGGGAGCUGGCGACACUAGGAGCAGCAGGAUCAGGAUCAGCCCAGCCACC